GGUAAACGCUGGCGGCGUGCCUAAAACAUGCAAGUCGAACGGGCCAUGCCUUCGGGAAUGGUCAGUGGCAGACGGCUGAGUAACGCGUGGGUAACCUGCCGUGGGGUGGGGAAUAACUGCCCGAAAGGGUGGCUAAGACCGCAUACGCCCCUUGGAUCAUGAGGGUCCGAGGAGCAAAGCGCUCGGGCAACCGAACGCGCCCGACGAGGGGCCCGCGUCCGAUUAGCUGGUUGGUGGGGUAACGGCCUACCAAGGCGACGAUCGGUAGCUGGUCUCA
rnacentral:rRNA from 1 species